rnacentral:lncRNA from 1 species
AUUAACGAAGCUGCAUAUUUAUGUGCUUUGAACUUACUCUUGCCCCUCACUCUCUAAGCCGUACUAUACAUAUAGGAGGCAUUAAUUUCUUAGUUAUAAUUUCAUUUAUAUAAGAGUGCUAUGGCUAUCUUGGUAGAUGUCUUUGAAGGGGUAUGUCUAUGUGUUUCAACUCUGUGGGAUCUGCAAGAAAUGCGCUUUGCAAAUGUGUUUGAUGGUGUAAGUUCCAUUGCAGCGUCAGUAUUCAUGGCUGCUGUAUCGUGUUUUAUAGCCAUAAGGAGACGAUGAAAUUAACGAUUAAUUUGUUUCUGGUGAUUUUCAGCAGGCAGGACAUGGACUGAGUUGUUUUACUCUUGAUAGGUUUGUUUGUAUUGUUGUUGCUAGGACCGAGUGGUGCGUGGUAAAUAUAACAUCAGACCACCACACCUAGGAGCAUUGGUUGGAAUUGUUUUUGUUGUUCGUUAUUUUCUUUUUCCUCAAAUUCUUAAUAUCUUUUGUGUUAUAAUCGCAUGAGUUCGCUUUCUCACAAGAAUGCUUCUUCUUCUUUUAUACAUAUGUACUUGGUAGUUAUUAAAAUCCCCCGAAGACAUCUUUUCAAAGAUUCAAAUGAUUGUCCUCAAAGGGAAGCAAGCUAUUCUUCUUACAAUCUGAUAGAUUGUGUGUUAUGUAUAGAACAAUGUUAUAGGUCAAGAGGGUUUUUUUUUUAUAUUAUUAUUAUAAAAAAUGUGUGACAGGCCUUGCUGCUGG